ensembl:lncRNA
ACUGGGUCUCAAAGAAAAUGAUAUAACCUUGAAGGCUGACUGGAGUUUCCAAUCCCACCUCCUCUAGCACAAGCCAGAAGACAAAACAGUUUUUCAGGUGUGAGGCUAUGGGCUAUGUUGUCUUCACUGCAGCUAUAUGCUCCAAGUGUAAACUCUCCCACUGAGCUACAAAGAGUGAAGCAGCACUGUUAAUGAGACAUUAAUCUCAAGCAGAGGAACAGCAGGAAGUACACGAGGAGGUGAUGUGAUCAAAACUUAAUCAUCUACAGCUAUCAGGAAUCAUCUGCCUGCUGUCUGUGAGUGUCUUUGUGCCAGCUGCAUCCGCUCAGGGGCCUGGAAAUGGGAGGCACUCCAGUGAGUUUGGCUGGUGUGCCUGGGUGGAAGUUUCUGCUUGAUAUUGGAAGAUGGGGAGAUGGAGACAGUGGGGAAGACCAGCUGGAGCAGCACACUAUGCCUGUGAACAACUCAGAGAUGCUGCAGGAAGGAGCAGUAGGGAGAAAGAAGAUACAAGUUUAUCCCCUUAAUUUAUUAGAAAACUUGCAAUUUUCAAUAGGUGACAGGCAUAUUAGCUCUCCUUUGGCUACUAUCAGAUUUUUUUUCUCUCAAAAGUAAUACUCUGAAUCAGUGAACAUGGUCACACUAUGUCCCAUAUGCUCAUGUUAUCCUCAUCAGAAAGUGGCAGUUGUUCCUGUGCACCUUCCCGGUGUGUGAGCACUGCACAAAGACUGAGACAACAGUGCACCCCACAGCAGAUAUGGAACUCAUUUCGUCCUCAGCACUGUAUAUCAGGCAGUUGUGUAGAAAGCAAAAAGCUGAAUUUAAAGGACUUUUCUUACUUCGUUCUUCUGAAACUGUAGAGUCUGUGGGACCCAAUUUUCUUUCUGUAAGGAUUGUUAGUGCUGUUCACCCAAACCGAAGCCUUUUCCAACUUUGUUUCAGAAACACAAUGACAAUCUGCUCUGUAUGUUUUAGGUGUCAGAACUCAGUGUUCAGGUGUGGUGCAGCAUAUUCUGAGUGUGCAGGAACACCUGCAGGCACCCAGAUCUGCAGGGUGACUGUAAUGUCCUGCUUGAAUCUACUGCACAUCUCUUCUACCAAACCGCCUGUGAAGUGAUUGAGAAAAGAUUGGGGUACAGAGUUGAAGAGAACUCUUACUUAGCCUGCAUGUUCUCUUUGCACUUUCAAGUGAUAACCAAAAGAGAAAAAAGCCAGAUAAAUUUUCUCUGAGCAGUACUAACUGACUGAUGCACAGUGGUCUAUAAUUUCCUGCUGACUUUGCAGCCCAGAGGAGGAUCCAGUGCCCAGGAGAGCAUUGGGCUUCCCUCUGAAAUGAUGAGACUCAAGCAAAACCAAGCCCUCAGCACUCUGCAGAGCACGCAGGACUUUACAUCAGUUCAUUAAAGAGAAAGGAAACUUAACUUCUAUGGAAACAAGAGCAGCUUUGUGAAAGGAGAAUUUAGUGGCUUCUGCAAUCUGCAUGACAUUUUACAGACGUAAAGGGAAAGGAAGUUAAAAACCAUUGAACUGAUAUUGGGAAGCACCGGCCAUCUGGAAAAGAAUUUCAUUGUCAUGAUUUCCAGUGCAGAGCUGCAGGAGUACUUAGAUAACCUUCAGAGAAAAAGUAGUCCUACAUACUGUUGUGAAACACAUUUCUAAACUCUAAGGUUUGUCACCAGUAUUUGGCAAGCUGUGUUAUUUCUGGACUAGUCAUUACAUUAUUUACUUCUCUGCACCACAGCUGCCUCCAUCCCUGUACAAUGAUUUAAAACUAAAUAAUGUUGUAGUGUGUGUUAUAACAAAGAUAGAUUUGCAGAGAAAAUAAUGCCAGCUGUCUAGAAGGUCUUAAAUACUUGUGUUCAUGGUCAUCAUGAGUGAUCAGAUAUAGUUUUCUGCUCUUCUUUUUCCGCACAAUUCUGGAAGAGUAGUGAUACACAUUCUGCUUUCAAUUAAUAUUUAUUAAAAUCAGAACAAAAUAUCUUCCAGAAGGUUUUAUAGGGAAAAGAAAAAAUAAGAACCAUUUAUGGAAUCAAGGUCAAGUAUCAACAAGUUUCAUUUUGACUUAUGCAGGCAAUGUAAGUGAGUAGAUAGGUCAUACUGUGAGCAGAGGAACGUGAUUCAAUCUGUUUACAGUGUGAGAGAAAAUGGACAACCCAGUAUAACAGAUGAAGGUUCUGGUAAGUGGGGAUGUGUUGGACACUUCAGUUAGGGUUCAAUUCAGGUGCAUCAACAUAGACACCUAAUAUUGUCUGUAUUACAUUACAGCAUUCCAGACAUGUUCAGCUUUAGUUAAGUGGCUUUUAGCCAUCUAGAAUAAGAUGUUUUCUCUGCUUGAAAAGCCCAAGAAGCUGAAAAAAAAUUGAAUUUCUGAUAAAAUUACAUGAAUCUGUGAUAGCCAGUGUU